GCCCGCCUAGCUCAAUCGGAUAGAGCGUCAGACUCUUACGAGAACCGGGCAUCUGAAGGCUGCGAGUUCGACCCUCGCGGUGGGCU